rnacentral:rRNA from 1 species
AGAGUUUGAUCAUGGCUCAGAUUGAACGCUGGCGGCAGGCCUAACACAUGCAAGUCGAGCGGUAGCACAGAGAGCUUGCUCUCGGGUGACGAGCGGCGGACGGGUGAGUAAUGUCUGGGAAACUGCCUGAUGGAGGGGGAUAACUACUGGAAACGGUAGCUAAUACCGCAUAAUGUCGCAAGACCAAAGUGGGGGACCUUCGGGCCUCAUGCCAUCAGAUGUGCCCAGAUGGGAUUAGCUAGUAGGUGGGGUAACGGCUCACCUAGGCGACGAUCCCUAGCUGGUCUGAGAGGAUGACCAGCCACACUGGAACUGAGACACGGUCCAGACUCCUACGGGAGGCAGCAGUGGGGAAUAUUGCACAAUGGGCGCAAGCCUGAUGCAGCCAUGCCGCGUGUGUGAAGAAGGCCUUCGGGUUGUAAAGCACUUUCAGCGGGGAGGAAGGCGGUGAGGUUAAUAACCUCAUCGAUUGACGUUACCCGCAGAAGAAGCACCGGCUAACUCCGUGCCAGCAGCCGCGGUAAUACGGAGGGUGCAAGCGUUAAUCGGAAUUACUGGGCGUAAAGCGCACGCAGGCGGUCUGUCAAGUCGGAUGUGAAAUCCCCGGGCUCAACCUGGGAACUGCAUUCGAAACUGGCAGGCUAGAGUCUUGUAGAGGGGGGUAGAAUUCCAGGUGUAGCGGUGAAAUGCGUAGAGAUCUGGAGGAAUACCGGUGGCGAAGGCGGCCCCCUGGACAAAGACUGACGCUCAGGUGCGAAAGCGUGGGGAGCAAACAGGAUUAGAUACCCUGGUAGUCCACGCCGUAAACGAUGUCGAUUUGGAGGUUGUGCCCUUGAGGCGUGGCUUCCGGAGCUAACGCGUUAAAUCGACCGCCUGGGGAGUACGGCCGCAAGGUUAAAACUCAAAUGAAUUGACGGGGGCCCGCACAAGCGGUGGAGCAUGUGGUUUAAUUCGAUGCAACGCGAAGAACCUUACCUGGUCUUGACAUCCACAGAACUUUCCAGAGAUGGAUUGGUGCCUUCGGGAACUGUGAGACAGGUGCUGCAUGGCUGUCGUCAGCUCGUGUUGUGAAAUGUUGGGUUAAGUCCCGCAACGAGCGCAACCCUUAUCCUUUGUUGCCAGCGGUUAGGCCGGGAACUCAAAGGAGACUGCCAGUGAUAAACUGGAGGAAGGUGGGGAUGACGUCAAGUCAUCAUGGCCCUUACGACCAGGGCUACACACGUGCUACAAUGGCAUAUACAAAGAGAAGCGACCUCGCGAGAGCAAGCGGACCUCAUAAAGUAUGUCGUAGUCCGGAUUGGAGUCUGCAACUCGACUCCAUGAAGUCGGAAUCGCUAGUAAUCGUAGAUCAGAAUGCUACGGUGAAUACGUUCCCGGGCCUUGUACACACCGCCCGUCACACCAUGGGAGUGGGUUGCAAAAGAAGUAGGUAGCUUAACCUUCGGGAGGGCGCUUACCACUUUGUGAUUCAUGACUGGGGUGAAGUCGUAACAAGGUAACCGUAGGGGAACCUGCGGUUGGAUCACCUCCUU